rnacentral:rRNA from 1 species
GAUGAACGCUGGCGGCGUGCCUAAUACAUGCAAGUCGAGCGAACGGACGAGAAGCUCGCUUCUCUGAUGUUAGCGGUGGACGGGUGAGUAACACGUGGAUAACCUACCUAUAAGACUGGGAUAACUUCGGGAAACCGUAGCUAAUACCGGAUAAUAUUUUGAACCGCAUGGUUCAAAAGUGAAAGACGGUCUUGCUGUCACUUAUAGAUGGAUCCGCGCUGCAUUAUCUAGUUGGUAAGGUAACGGCUUACCAAGGCAACGAUGCAUAGCCGACCUGAGAGGGUGAUCGGCCACACUGGAACUGAGACACGGUCCAGACUCCUACGGGAGGCAGCAGUAGGGAAUCUUCCGCAAUGGGCGAAAGCCUGACGGAGCAACGCCGCGUGAGUGAUGAAGGUCUUCGGAUCGUAAAACUCUGUUAUUAGGGAAGAACAUAUGUGUAAGUAACUGUGCACAUCUUGACGGUACCUAAUCAGAAAGCCACGGCUAACUACGUG